ensembl:lncRNA
UAUAUAUAUAUAAAAGCUUGUACAGUAUAUGUAUGCAGCACUGAUUUAAGAGGCAAACGCAACAAAAACAUGACAGGUGUGUGUGUGUGUGUGAACAUUUAGGCCGUUUUAUUUGAGGCACACAUCAUAUGGAAGUCAUCUUUUUAAAAAAAAAACAAACAAAAACAUCAUCCUGAUAGACAGCGAAAUUCAGGCACUUUAUUAAAAACAUUUUCCAAAAAUAAUCACCGCUGAAUUAUUUUCUUCCCUCAAAUCCAGACUAGUGGUGAAACACGGCGUUACUAUAAUAGAGUUUACUCCUGUACGGUUCUCAGAGUAAACGAUAACCCUGUGAUGUACAUGACACUCGGAUCUCCCUGGAAAUGUUUCACCCAGCAGCGAGUUGUGUUCUUCUUCCCAGUGACGUGAGCUAAAAGGCGUAUACUGGCAUGUCUUUUCAAAAAUACAUAUAAACAUUUAUUUCCUUUCUUUCUUUUUCUUUUAAAAAAACGACUAAACCUGAGGUGGUGCACAAAAAUAUACACGUUAAAAACCCAUAAACGUUUCUGCACAGGUUCAGUGGUCCUUCCUCGUAAUACUGCUACAUUACAAACCAGGUAUAAAGCAGAUCGGUGUCUUUGGCAUGCCGGCACCGCUUCACUGAUCCGACACCACGGGCGGAACUGUGCGUCAGUGUAUUAAAAACACACCAUCUUCAAUACACUGAUCUUUUAGCGUUAAGCUAGACACGGUACAUUCAUUCACACUUUUGAAGAAAGAAAAAGCCCCAAAACAAACCACAGAGAGGUCUGGGACCCGGAAGCACUGCAGAGUUCAGCUUUCAUCGCGCCGAGGCUUUGUGCGUUAAUAAUACAGGACUGAAACCCGGCUUCGCGGAGGCUCUGCAGAACUGAAGAGUCACAGAAUAUAUAUACACUGAAAUACCCGUGAUGAUGCGUACAGUGUGCAAAACGUGAGCUUAUAGGAAGGAGUGGAGGUGAUUGUGUUCUGUUCGUUUCAAGGCAACACUGGUGAAUUUAAACGUCUGACAGGAAGUUAGAUUUCAACGUGAAAUGCUAAAACACGUGUGCGCUCGAGCGGCUCUGCUCGUUAUGCGUGUGCGUAUGUUUGUGGAGUCGCUCCGAUCCUUAUUAGACACUACAGUAUAGAAAACGUCCUGUUCUUUACACUAAUCUUCUACUUUCUGACCUGCUUCUUACCCACUCGAGCGCAGGCAGCCAGGCUAACGAACGCCCACGGGCACGGGCACCGGCGCUGGGGUGAAGAAGUGUCUUACAGUGUUAGCUGGGGUUGGUCGAGUUGUCCAUGGUGGCCAGCAGGUGGGAAACUUUGGCUCUCUGAGAUGGAGUGAUGUUCUGAGCCAUGUGGAUGAUGCAGUCCAUCGCAACCUCUGGAUUGGCCUCCAUGAGACUGUGAAACCACACACACACACACACACACACACACACACAC